UCGGGAACGGCGCGACCGCAAAUCCGACUCGCCUUCGGGCUUGGGAUUGCGGGAGUGC
ncrna:unclassified sequences S15-Halobacteria ribosomal protein leader